rnacentral:rRNA from 1 species
UACGUAGGGGGCAAGCGUUGUCCGGAAUCAUUGGGCGUAAAGAGCGCGUAGGCGGUCCGGUAAGUCCGCUCUGAAAGUCCGGGGCUCAACCCCGGGGAGGCGGGCGGAUACUGUCGGGCUAGAGUCCGGAAGAGGCGAGUGGAAUUCCUGGGUGUAGCGGUGAAAUGCGCAGAUAUCAGGAGGAACACCGGUGGUGUAGACGGCUUCUGGACCGACACUGACGCUGAGACACGAAAGCGUGGGUAGCAAACAGG